UUUCCUGCAGUCCAGUGGUUAAGACUCUGUGCUUCUAAUGCAAGGGGUUCAGGUUCAAUCCCUGGUAGGGGAA
rnacentral:tRNA from 1 species